ensembl:lncRNA
GGUUGGUUUUCAACUGGAUCAUCAGGCCAGUCUGGCACUGCACCAAACCCUGUGAUGAGCAGUACCACACAAGAGAGCUGAUGGCAAUGUAUGGCAGGAAGGAAGCAGACUCAGAUUGGUUUAAACUGAUCAUUAAACCCUUUAAUGAAAGCUGCUAGUCUGUGUUAGCACUGAUUCGCCUUCCAUGCAUGUCAUAGCCUUCCUAUCUUCAAGUGCUGGUUGGGUUUCCUGCUUGGACUUGUUUACGAGGUCUCCUCUCUCACCAAGGUGCAGGUGUGAUGCAGCUCAAGUCACGUUAUGGAGCUGAAUGGAGACUCCAGUUUUCAGCUGAAUGGAUCUGUCUGGGGAUUUACACUGCACCCUCACCCUAAGGUUUCACUUCUUGCUUCUGCUUCAGAGGAACUACAAAGCCUGAAACGAAAGUUAGUUGAAACCCUGAUAGGUCACUCAUUCUUUUUUCUUUUGGUAGAAAAGGCAUCUGAAAGUCAAGCAGCGGUGAAGUGACUGGCCAAGUGGUUCAGAAAGCCUUUCACAAACUUACCAAGCCAAGGUGCUGUCCUACAUCAGGGCAGAGCUGGCAGCAUGACCUUAGACAUUGGGUUUGGUGGCAAGAGGUUUGUGCACUUUUAGGGACACCUUCUUCCUGCGCUGGAUUUCGUGCUCCAGGUGCUGCGCCCUCCAGGGACGUGUGGCUUCUGCAGGCCUCCUGCUCUCGACCUGCUGGGGCUCGGGCUGUGAGGUGAGGACGUGGCCUUCCCGCGGGAGCCUCCGAGUCCUGCCCGCAGGAACGGAAAGCUCUCACUUGAUCCCCGGCUGGAGGAAGAGUCUUAGCAAGCCGGCUGAAUGUGCAGCUGGAAGAGGUUAAAAAUUAACCCCGCAGUGAUGUGGCUGCAGAUACAUUUACCAACUUCAUCUUGAGUGCCAAAAAUGUCAAGCCUUUCCUUCACCACUCAUUUGCUGAUCUUCCUCAGAGGACACCGACAUGCAGAGCGAACUCAUUUGAACAUCCCUGCCGUUCGGGGACCAGUUCAACAGAAAGAAGUCACCUUUGAAGGUCACCUUUUAAGAAUUCCUUGGCUGUUCUGGCCAUGUGUUACCCUGCGAAGCCCAGGAACACAGGAAGGUUGGCAGGAGCAAUUAGGUUUGAGCCAAGUUUGCUGAAGGCAGUAGAAGGUCUACGAAGUCUUGUGGUAAGACGCUCGUAGAUGUACAUGGGAUUUAGACCAUACCUUUUACUAGAGGGAAAAUGGGAAAGAAAAGUUGGUGCAGUGACUGAGCUGGCUGCUGGGGACUCCCAAGUGCUGGAAGCUGUGUGGGACUUGUGUUCUCCUCUCUGGCCCUGAGAUCCCUGUAUAUGCACUUGGCCGAAGUGCAGCUGUUGGCCACAGAGAUGCGGUGGGUAUGGAGGCAUUUGAGAGUGUGAGACUGGUCUGAGACCGCGGUAAUGGCAACCUUGGAAGUGGCUAAAAUAUUUGGAAAGUAGAGUGUUGGAUGUAUUGGUAUCAUGGAAGCUGAAAAGUUCAAUAAGCUGGGAGUCACUUAUUAAUCCCAAUGUGAGAAAUGGGAUGGUUUUGAUCUCCACUGUGGAGUGCUGAAAAGUGCAAACACGACAUCAGCUUAUUUCAGGUCAGCAUUCAAGAUGGUGUAAAAGCAAGAUGAGUUUUAGCCUUUAUUUAACUGGAUUUAAUUACAUGCCUGAGCUUCAAAGUGCCUAAAGCCUAAUGGUAAGUGACCUAAGGUCUGAUUUAAAAAACAACAACAGCCUAAACCUUAAGCUUGUUUGUUAGACCAUAUGGCAUGAGUGGAUCAUGUGAUAUUUCAGGUAGGAUGUAAGGAAUAAAGUACCCAGUGCAUCCA